UGGCGACGGGUGAGUAACGCGUGGAAAACCUGCCGUAUACUGGGGGAUAACACUUAGAAAUAGGUGCUAAUACCGCAUAAGCGCACAGCUUCGCAUGAAGCGGUGUGAAAAACUCUGGUGGUAUACGAUGGUUCCGCGUCUGAUUAGCUAGUUGGUGGGGUAAUGGCCUACCAAGGCAACGAUCAGUAGCCGGCCUGAGAGGGUGAACGGCCACAUUGGGACUGAGGCACGGCCCAAACUCCUACGGGAGGCAGCAG
rnacentral:rRNA from 1 species